rnacentral:lncRNA from 1 species
AUCUAAGCCCUUGGACCCAUCAUGGCUCAGGCUAAGGGCUGGGGAGAAUGACUUCUAAGCUGGGCAGCAGGCAGCUAGGAAGGCAUGAGGUGAGCCUUAAUCCCUCUGUCCCUGGAGGCCCUGGAGUGGGGACACACUCACCUCUGAUCUCUUGGCUCUGAUGCCACAGUAGCCUCCCAGCUCAGUGGCCUUUCUCUGGCCCUCAGGACACACCACAGAUUAAUAUAGGCUUGGCCCUGGCAGAACCUGCCACUGCCUGCCUCUUACUAGCAGGGCCCAAGUAGGAGUGGUAGCAGGUGGACUUCAGGCAGCGGCGGCACAGCCCUACUCUAAAUUUAACCAGCAGUCAUCACCAACCCUCCCCCAAGCCCUUCCAAGGACACUAACCCUCCAACCACAGGUGCUAGAGGAAGGACAGGCCCUGAGGAUGGACACCAGGCUGACCAGGUCAGUGCCCAUGUGACCUCGUAGAGAUGGCCAUGCAAAUACAAAUGCAACGGUCAUGAUCUAGAAUUGCCUUCUUCCCUCUAGCUUGAGGCCCCUAAAGGGCCCCUCUCAUUCUGAUACACUGUCCCUAGCCAGCACAGCCCAAGUGGCCAACUGCUUGUCACCUAUACCAGCACAGGCGGAAGCUGGCAGACAUGCCCCAGGAUCAGGGCUUCAUGCCAGAAACUGAGACCAUGACCCUGGGAAGCACCUAACUAAUGCCAGUCUUCUGCCUGUUUCACGCUGCUGGCUCUGGCCCAGUCCUGUGGAAAACACUGUCUCCCUUCCAGCCAGCGUUCCUGUCCCUCUGCAUGGCCACCCACUCCAUCACCCAUGAAGAGUUUUUUCCAAAGUGUCCUACUGCUUUCAGGAAAGCAAAGGGUUACAGAAGAGCCUCCAAGAAGCUGAACCAACUAGGAGAGGUGGAAGUUAAGGCUGGGCUUCUUGCCUAUGGCCUUGAGCCUUUCUCCCACAAAGGCUGGGGCUGCUACCUGCAAGCCCGAGCAUGCACCUAUCUACAGGUUUGGGUGCUCCUGGGCAUGGGUGGCUCCUAACCAGUGAGACACAUGGGAAGGCUCCGUGGCAAACAGCCUUUAUCAAGAGUCACAAUAAACAGACUGUGGCCUGAGGCCCAUAGGUAGAGCUCUGCAUAGUCCAUCCCUGAGCAAGGUGGCCAGUGUCCUGGGCUGGGAGGGGGA